rnacentral:rRNA from 1 species
AUUACUUUAAGUAAAAUUUGCUCCAUGUAAAAUAAAUAGCCGCAGGAUACCCUGUGCUAAGGUAGCAUAAUCAUUAACCUUCUAAUUAAAGGCUGGAAUGAACGAUUUUACACUUUAAUUAUUUUUUUUUUUUUAAAUUAUUAAAAUUAUAUUAAAUAUAAAAAUGUAUUUAUAAAAUAAAAAGACGAUAAGACCCUAUUGAACUUUACUAAAGUUUAGCUGGGGAAGCUAAUUAAAAACAAUUUUAAUUCAAAUAGAAAAAAGAAUCCAAUAAAAUUGAUUAUAAUAAGUUACCAUAGGGAUAACAGCGUAAUGUUUUUAAAAAGCUCUUAUUAAAAAAAAAGAUUGCGACCUCGAUGUUGAAUUAAAAUUACUCUAAGACGCAACUGUAUUAGAAGUAAGUCUGU